rnacentral:rRNA from 1 species
CCAGCACCUGCGGUAAUUCCAGCUCCAAUAGCGUAUAUUAAAGUUGUUGCAGUUAAAAAGCUCGUAGUUGGAUUUCUGGGAGGGUGCCAAUGUCCGCCGACGUGCGUGUGCAGCGGCGCCUUUCCAUCCUUCUGUUAACGCCUCUUGGCAUUCAUUUGCUGGUGGCGGGCUCAGAUAUUUUACCUUGAGAAAAUUAGAGUGUUUCAGGCAGGCUAGGCCGGAAUACAUUAGCAUGGAAUAAUAGAAUAGGACUACGGUCUCUUUGUUGGUUUGAGGGACUGCAGCAAUGAUUAAUAGGGAUAGUUGGGGGCAUUAGUACUUCACUGUCAGAGGUGAAAUUCUCGGAUUUGUGAAAGACUAACUUAUGCGAAAGCAUUUGCCAAGGAUGUUUUCA